CCUACGGGUGGCAGCAGUGGGGAAUAUUGCACAAUGGGGGAAACCCUGAUGCAGCGACGCCGCGUGAGUGAAGAAGUAAUUCGGUAUGUAAAGCUCUAUCAGCAGGGAAGCAACAGACGGUACCUGAGUGAGCAGCCCCGGCUAACUACGUGCCCGCAGCCGAGGUAAUACGUAGGGGGCAAGCGUUAGCCGGAUUUACUGGGUGUAAAGGGAGCGUAGGCGGGGAAGAAAGUCUGACGUGAAAGCCCGCGGCUUAACCGCGGAACUGACUUGGAAACUUGCUUGCUGGAGUACCGGAGAGGUAAGCGGAAUUCCUAGUGUAGCGGUGAAAUGCGUAGAUAUUGGGAGGAACACCAGUGGCGAAGGCGGCCUACUGGACGGUAACUGACGUUGAGGCUCGAAAGCGUGGGGAGCAAACAGGAUUAGAUACCCUAGUAGUC
rnacentral:rRNA from 1 species